rnacentral:lncRNA from 1 species
AGUGCCAGCAUACUAUCUAUUAGAUUAAAUGAAGCUGUAAGCAUCUUUGAAGUACAAAUGAUACUUGGAAAGUAAAUGAAACUGGGAAUACUUGCAAGUAAAAUAUGGGAAGUCAAAGAGAUUAAAGGAUGAGAACCAGAAAUUGCUUAUGGCCAGUGUCCUGAGUAAGCCUCAGAAUCGCAUCCUAGAAGCAUCACGUUCUUGCGUUACCCUAUGGAUCUAAAAAAAGACUUCCUUAGUUUGAUGUAGUCUGCAGACAUCUCAUCAUCACAAAAACUUGAAAGCACUUACAGCACUAAGAAACUACCUUUGCAGAUUGUAAAAAAAGAUAGAAUCCUACUUAGUGUUUUGAUCACACCUGCCUAUUUCCCCAAGGUUUUACUGCAGGGUUAAAGAAUGAAUAAGCAUCUAGUUAUAUUUAAUAAACUCCAUGCCUCAUGGCUGAUUCU